CCUACGGGAGGCAGCAGUGGGGAAUAUUGCACAAUGGGGGAAACCCUGAUGCAGCGACGCCGCGUGGAGGAUGAAGGUUUUCGGAUUGUAAACUCCUUUUGUUAGAGAAGAUAAUGACGGUAUCUAACGAAUAAGCACCGGCUAACUCCGUGCCAGCAGCCGCGGUAAUACGGAGGGUGCAAGCGUUACUCGGAAUCACUGGGCGUAAAGAGCGCGUAGGCGGGAUAGCAAGUCAGAUGUGAAAUCCCCGCGCUCAACGUGGGAACUGCCUUUGAAAAUGGCAAACUGGAGUGUGUGAGAGGAUAGUGGAAUUCCAGGUGUAGGAGUGAAAUCCGUAGAUAUCUGGAGGAACAUCAGUGGCGAAGGCGACUAUCUGGCACAUAACUGACGCUGAGGAGCGAAAGCGUGGGUAGCAAACAGGAUUAGAUACCCGUGUAGUC
rnacentral:rRNA from 1 species